rnacentral:rRNA from 1 species
ACGUUAUUCGGAAUCACUGGGCUUAAAGCGCGUGUAGGCGGGCCGCCACGUCGGGCGCUGAAAUCCCCCGGCUCAACCGGGGAACGGGCACCGAUACGGGCGGCGUGGAGGGGGGUAGGGGGGGCCGGAACUCACGGUGGAGCGGUGAAAUGCGUUGAGAUCGUGAGGAACGCCCGUGGCGAAAGCGGGCCCCUGGACCUUUACUGACGCUGAGACGCGAAAGCUA